UGUUGACAUAGUUGCGCAGGCACUUUGUUGACUCUAGAGAACCUCGGUCCAAUUGCACAUCCCUGUGAAGGCGACUUUGCAUUUGGAUGUCAUCCAUAUCAACUUUCGAUGCCAGUUUCUGCGCCUACUAUGGUGACCACAGGUAAUGGGGAAUCAGAGUUCCAUUCCAUACAGGGACCCUGAGAAACGGCUACCACAUGCAAGGAAGGCAGCAGGCGCGCAAAUGACCCACUCCCAAUGCGGGAAGGUAGUGACA